rnacentral:ncRNA from 1 species
UGAAAAGCGAUGAAGAGGACAGUAUAGUAGUGAAUUCUGGAACCAGAGAAUAUCUGCCAUGGCUGGAAGCAGAUAACACCGGAGACUACUAGAAGACCACCUCGGAGCUUGAGACUGAAGUAAGUAAGUCGUCAGGCAGCCCUGCCUUAUGGGGUAGAGCGAACUAUAUUCUUUUUUUAAGAAUAUAGUUAAGUUGGGUGGAACCGCGAGUAAACCUCUCGUCCCGAUG